GGGGUUGUGGCUUAGUGAUAAAGCACUUGCCUAGCAUGCACAAGGCCCUGGGUUCCAUCCCCAGCACUCA
rnacentral:tRNA from 1 species